AAUAAAAAAAAUAAAAAAGAAAUUUUGUUUACAGUUGCCAAAUUAGUAUGAUUUUUAUGUAUUUAUCAAAACUAAUAACUAAUAGGAAGAAGUGGAAUUUUUAUUUGGAAAAAAUAUAAAAAUAGAUUUCAUGAUUUCACAAUUGGACAUUUUAAGAUUUAUGUUUUAAAUUUUAUAAAAACACCCUAAGAUUAUAUUCAUUAACCUUUAAAGAAUAGUUUAUUCUAUCACUUUUUUUAUAAGCAGCAGGAAAGAUUAUUAUUAAUUAGUGAAUAAAAAGGAAGGUGGGGAAACCAGCAAAAGUAGAUCCCAGUAUCAUCCUAUCCAAGCCCAUACACCCGCCUAUUAAACUAACUGCAUUCUGCUGAUGAAGAAACCCCACCGACACAACCCAACCAAAGCAUAAGCAAAUGUAAAAGGGACAGCUAUUGAGAAAGUAUAUAGCAAAACACAUAAACACAAAAUAAUGGUGCUAAAGAAAUUAAAAGCCACUAAAUCAGUCUCUCGCCCGCUAACAGCUUUUGCCAAUUUAUCAGCAAAAUUGUUAGCCUCUCUAAGUGUGUGUGAAUCUCACCCGUUUCAUUAAUCCAUUUAUUCAGACGCCAUGGAUCCACAGAUGAUCCUAAAAUGCAUGAUAUUUUUAUUUAUAUGGGAGAUUUAUUAUAUUAAAAAUCUUAUUUUAUUCAAGUAAAUAAUUUAGCAGCAUUAGAUAAAAAACCCUUCAAGUAUUAACAAAAGAUAAAAUUAAAACAUAUAUAUAUAUAUAAUUUGAAAGACAGACUCUAAAAUAUGUAAGUUCAAAGUCACACUUUUAUUUUUUAUAUCAAGAAAAAAACUAAAAAUUGUUUUCAAAAGCACGAUAAUUUACCUUAAAAACAAUUUCCUUUUCAUUCUUUUAAGAAUACCUUUUCAUUACUGUAAGUGUAACCAACUUCUUUGGUUUUGAAGAAGAGAGCUAUGAAUUUUAAUGAACAUGUUACAUGAUGAGUAAAAGUGAUGAGAAUCAAGGUACAUCCACGCCAAAGGAUUUCAU
rnacentral:misc_RNA from 1 species